ensembl:lncRNA
GCGUGACGGCCGGAAAGGGGACGCGUGCCCGUGUCAUCACUUCCGCCUAACAAAGGAGCGCGGUGCGCCGUUGCUAGGGGACGCCGGGCAGUGUUCAGGCCAUGGAGGCUGCGAAGAAGCAGGUUCCCCGGGAGCCCUUGAGCUUCGUGCUGCGCGGGCACCGGGCCCCGCUCCGAGAGAAACGAAAUGAAUUUCUCAGUAAUACCCAGAAAACUGCCCUUGGCCAACAUCAUAACUCUCAUGAAUUAGCCAAGAACCAAGCACCUCUGGGCAACCUGGAAAACCCUUCAUGGACUCAAGAGGAAGAAAUGGCUAGUUUGUCUUCUCAGAAGGACAGUCCCACCAUUGACGACCUGGAGGAAAGUUUACAGAAAGCUGAAAGUCCAAGUGCGCCCACGCUUGGCCCCCAGCUUGAGUCUUGACUCUGACACUGAAGAUGUCUCUGGUUUGGAUGCCAUGGGCCUCUGUAGUCCUGCUCAAUCUCAGUGGUCUGAAGAUCGAUGUACCCCAUCUCCUGAGGGGCAGAGGGCACCUAUGGACUUGGGACAGUUUCUGAGUCCCCUGCGCUUGGCCAGACCAUUGGGAAAAGGCUCACACCUUAGGACUUUAGGCCUUCCAGUGAGGUCCCAAGCUCCAGGCAACUCCAGAGCAGGCUUCUGGGAAGUGAGGUGUCCAGCAGUAGCUGUCUGCCCUCUGUGGCCUUGGUGAUGGAUGGGUCCCCAGCACAGUCCUUCCCCCCUAAACUAGGGGCACCUCAUGUAAUUGGUGUGAAGUCUCUGUUGCCUCCUAAGAUCCCAGUGAGGUCCUGCUCUCCCCAGAGGAGAGGCGGCUCUCCCAGAAAACCCAGAGGCAGGUCUCGUUCUCUCACCCGAUCCCAUUCUUUCUCCCCGGCUUCCAAAAGGACACGAUGGGUCCGGUCUCACUCCCAGUCCCCCAGGCCCAUCUGGAGACCCACCUCAGCCAGAGCCAAUGCUUGUGCACAGCCCCCACCUCAGCUCAUCCGGCCCGGGGGAAGCAGAAAGAAAUCGGCUCUCAGCAGAUCAUCUCAAUUUCAAACUGGUCCCUGGGCUGCCCCCCGGGCCUGCAUGCCCCCCAAAAACAGGGAGGAAGAAGUCCUGGACCACUCGUGGAGCCCUUACUGCCUUCCUGUGCCUGGAAUCUCCUCUCCCCUGGCUCAGGAGAUGAACGAAAGGUUCUUCCAGACCCUCAAAGAAGGGCAUGUACAUCAGUCCCUGGGGACCACGGCCCCCAUUCAGAAAGCCUUGAGGCGACUCCGUUUGCAGUGCCUUCGGGCAGAGGAAGAGUGGGUGUUGGAGCUGACGAGGCAGCAAGAACUGGAACGGACCCGAGGCCCCAAAUUCAAGUGGUAUGAGAUGAAAAGCUCCCAGUUCCAUUAUGAGGCCCACAAACAUAACGAGAGGCUGAGGAAUAGCCACAAGUCACCGCUGCUUUGUGACUACAGACAGGAACUGGCUUCUGAGGCCAAGGAGUUCGAUAAGCGCUCCCUGCCUGCCCACCUGGAUUCCUUUUUAACCCAGCAGGAUGAUCAGUAA